UCAGCGCUACCAUAAAGCGACGCCCGAUAGAAGCCUAGAGCGGAUCCGAGCCUGGCCCGCCUCCUGCGCGGAAUGGGCUGGGCGGUGUUAAUUGGCGGAAUAUGCAAGGAAACUGCAAGAAAUUCAGUAUAGUUGGAGUGAGAAGCUGGAGAGAUGGGGCUGAGAAAAUCAAAUAACAUGAAUGACUUCUGCCACUGGUCAAGCACAGGAACUGACAUCAAAAGCGAGUCUGUUGGGCACUGAAGCACAUGUCCUUUCUUCUCUUGCUGGGCUUCCUCAUGGCUUGUUGGUCCAAGAGCAGACAAUACCAAGAAGAUCCUAGAAGAGGCUAAGCCACAUAGGAUGCAAUUCCAAACUGAAAAGUCACUCUUUCCAGGAGAAGAGUGGGCAGUGGGCAGAGAGAAGCCAGGACCAGGAGACUAAUUCUGAUAGAGAAUGUGUUGGUGUUGCCUUUGGAAUAGGCCAAUGAAAGCAUGUGAAGAUUUUUGAGGCAUCAAUGAAAAGAGCUUGGAUCCCUAAUUUUGGGCAUGGACAGAAAGGGAACUCUACCACACACCUUUGUCUACUUGUUUUCCUCUAACACCACACAUUCAAAUAUAGAUGUCUAGUGUCCAGCCAGGACCUGAAUGGGGACCAUCAUUAUAAAUAUUCUUUAUUCUAACCCUAGCAUCUAGCCCAGUACCAAGAAAUGGUGAAUCAAUAGUAUAUGAUAAAUCAGUACAUUAAUUUAAACAUCAAAGACAUUAUGUGUUCACUUUGGUUGGACUCCUGUUUCUUAGAUAUUCCUAGGGCAAUCCUGAAUGGCAAGAGCAGAGGCAAUAGAGGAAAGCAAAGGACCACAGGGUUUUGUCACUUCAACCAUUAAAAUGAGAGAGAUGCAAGCCAUAGUGAGAAAAAGAGCUAUUCUAAAAUACAACUGGCUCUCAUACAAGAGAGUGAGCUGUGGGCAGGGUAGAAGGGAAGUGGAGGUGGAGGCAGGGUGGCAUCAAGCAGAAGCUGCAUGACCAUGAGUUGCAUUGAGGACAGUGCAGUACAGGGAUGCCUGCACAGAGUCAGAGCUGGACUGUAUCACCAUCCCCACCCCUGGCUGAAGCAGAAUUAACUGUGGAUGAGAUUUUCUAAAAAAAAAAAAAAAAAAAAAAAAAAAAAAAACUCAUUCCUAGGCCCUCUACUUAGAAAUUUUGAUUUUUUUUUGAAGAAAAAAAAUAGUUUUUUCUUAUUAUUUUGAGAGAGAGAAAGUGUGAGUCAGGGAGGGACAAAGAGAGAGGGAGGGAGGGAGAAUCCCAAGCAGGCUCUGUGCUGUCAGCGCUCUAUCUCACCAACCCUGAGAUCAUGACCCGAGCUAAAGUCCAACGCUUAACCAACUGAGCCACCCAGAUGCCCCAGAAACUUUGAUUUAAUACAUUUGAAUUGUAUCUAAACAUCUUUGAGUUUUAAUUAACAUACAAAAAAUGCACCCAUUAAAGUGCAAAGGUUGAUAAGUUUUAACAUACAUGCAUGCACAUACCUAUCAUAAUCAAGACAGAACAUUUUCAUAACUACCAAAAUUUCCCUUAGAUUCUUUGUGGUCAGUUGUUCCCUUCCCAGUUCCAGGCCUCCAGUGAUCUGCUUUUUGUCACUACAAAUGAGUUUGCCUGGUCUAGAUUUGAUAUGUGGCAUCUAUAGGCUGAACUGUUUUUUUUUUUUUUUUUAAAUGUUUAUUUUUUCGAAAGAAAGAGGGAGAGACAGAGUGCAAGUGGGGCAGGGGCAGAGAGAGAGAGAGAGGGAGUCACAGAAUCUGAAGCAGGCUCCAGGCUCUGAGCUGUCAGCACAGAGCCUGACACAGGGCUCGAACCCACGAGAGAUCAUGCCCUGAGCCGAAGUCAGAUGCUCAACCGACUGAGCUACCCAAGUGCCUCUAUAGUAUGAACUCUUAUGUGUCUGGCGUCUUUCCUUCAGCACAAUGUUUUUGAGGUUCAUUCAUAUUUCCAGGUGUAUCAGUAGUUUGUUCUUUUUUUUGCUGUGUAAUAUUCUAUUACAUAGAUAUUCCACAAUUUAUUUAUGCAUUAAUUCAUUGAUAGGUAUAUGUGUUGUUUUGAAUUUUUGCCUGUGAUGAAUAAUAUUGCCAUUAACAUUUCUAUGCAUGUCUUUGUGUGGACCUUUUCAUUUCACUUGGUGAAAAACCUGGGAGUAGAAUUAUUACAUUGUAUAGUAAUAUCUAUAUAGCUUUAAAAAACUAUAAGAUUGUUUCCCAAAGUAGUUGUAUCAGUUACAAUUCCUGCCAAUAAUAUGUGGCAAUUCCAGUUGCUCUACAUUCUUGCCAAUACAUAGCCUUGUCAUUCUUUCUAAUUUUAUCUAUUUAAUUAAGUAUGUAGUAGAAUCUUAUUGUGGUUUUAAUUUUUGUUUUUCUUAUGACUAAUUAUGUUGAACAUCUUUUUGUGUGCCUGUUAGCCAUUUGCAUAUCCAUUUUUCUGAUGUGUCUUUCAAUCUUUUGCCCAUUUUUUAUUGAAUUGUCUUCUUGUUAAGUUUUAAAAGUCCUUCGUAUGUUCUGGGUACAAAUCCUUUGUCAGAUGUAAGUAUUAGAAAAUUUUAUCCCUGCCACUGUCUUCCCUUUAAAAUUUUCUUAAUAGUGUUUAUUAUAGGCUGAAUCAAAUACACCGAAAAUUUAUAUGUUGAAGUGUACUCCAAGUGCCUCAGAAUGUGACAAUAUUUAGAGAUAGGGUCUUUAAAGAAGCGAUUAAAUUAAAAUGCAACAAUUAGGGUAGAUCCUAUUCCAAUUUGACUGGUGUCUGUACAAAAAGAGGAAAUUUGGACAUACAUGGAGACACCUAGAAGGCACGGAUACAGAGGGAAGACCAUGUGAGGACACAGCAAGAAGGCAGCCAUCUGCAAGCCAAGGAGAGAGGUCUCAGAAGAAAUCAAAACUACUGACACCUUGAUCUUGGCCUUCUAGCCUCGAGAACUGUGGGAAAUAAACUUCUGUUUUUUAAGCCACCCGGUCUGUGGUAUUUUGUUAUGGCAGUCAUAGCAAACUAACAUAAUAUCUUUCAAAGAAUAAAUGUUUUCAAUUUUGAUGAA